GACGAACCGUGCAAACGUUGUUCGGAAUCACUGGGCUUAAAGGGCGCGUAGGCGGGCCAGCCAGUCUGUGGUGAAAGCCCCCGGCUUAACCGGGGAAGUGCCGUGGAUACUGCUGGCCUCGAGGAGGGUAGGGGCAUCUGGAACGGUCGGUGGAGCGGUGAAAUGCGUUGAUAUCGACCGGAACUCCGGUGGCGAAGGCGAGGUGCUGGGCCCUUUCUGACGCUGAUGCGCGAAAAGCCAGGGGGAGCAAAACGGGG
rnacentral:rRNA from 1 species